rnacentral:rRNA from 1 species
UACGGAGGGUGCGAGCGUUAAUCGGAAUUACUGGGCGUAAAGCGCACGUAGGCGGUCAGGCAAGUCGGGUGUGAAAGCCCUGGGCUCAACCUGGGAAUUGCAUUCGAAACUAUCUGACUCGAGUAUGGGAGAGGGAAGCGGAAUUUCCGGUGUAGCGGUGAAAUGCGUAGAUAUCGGAAGGAACACCAGUGGCGAAGGCGGCUCACUGGUCCGGUACUGACGCUGAGGUGCGAAAGCGUGGGGAGCAAACAGG